GAUAAAUGUUAAAAUUUAUAUUAGUUGAUUAAUAGUUAUGUUCUUAAAAGUUAAAGGAUUUGGCGGUAUUUUAGUCUAUUCAGAGGAACCUGUUCUGUAAUUGAUAUUCCACGAUUUUUAAUACUUAUAAUAAUUAGUUUGUAUAUCGUCGUUAAAGAAUAUUUUUUUAGAAUUUAAAUAUUCAUAAUUUUUAGUUAAAAUAAAUCAGAUCAAGGUGCAGUUUAUUUAUAAGUAGAAAUGGGUUACAAUAAAUUAUAUUUUUGGAUUAAAUCAAUAAUUUGGUUUAUGAAAGUGGAUUUGACAGUAAUUUUAAUUAAAUUAUUAAAAUGAUUUUAGCUCUAAAAUAUGU
rnacentral:rRNA from 1 species